GGUCCAAACUCCUACGGGAGGCAGCAGUGAGGAAUAUUGGUCAAUGGGCGCAGGCCUGAACCAGCCAAGUAGCGUGAAGGAUGACUGCCCUAUGGGUUGUAAACUUCUUUUAUAAAGGAAUAAAGUCGGGUAUGGAUACCCGUUUGCAUGUACUUUAUGAAUAAGGAUCGGCUAACUCCGUGCCAGCAGCCGCGGUAAUACGGAGGAUCCGAGCGUUAUCCGGAUUUAUUGGGUUUAAAGGGAGCGUAGAUGGAUGUUUAAGUCAGUUGUGAAAGUUUGCGGCUCAACCGUAAAAUUGCAGUUGAUACUGGAUAUCUUGAGUGCAGUUGAGGCAGGCGGAAUUCGUGGUGUAGCGGUGAAAUGCUUAGAUAUCACGAAGAACUCCGAUUGCGAAGGCAGCCUGCUAAGCUGCAACUGACAUUGAGGCUCGAAAGUGUGGGUAUCAAACAGGAUUAGAUACCCUGGUAGUCCACACGGUAAACGAUGAAUACUCGCUGUUUGCGAUAUACUGCAAGCGGCCAAGCGAAAGCGUUAAGUAUUCCACCUGGGGAGUACGCCGGCAACGGUGAAACUCAAAGGAAUUGACGGGGGCCCGCACAAGCGGAGGAACAUGUGGUUUAAUUCGAUGAUACGCGAGGAACCUUACCCGGGCUUAAAUUGCAGAUGAAUUACGGUGAAAGCCGUAAGCCGCAAGGCAUCUGUGAAGGUGCUGCAUGGUUGUCGUCAGCUCGUGCCGUGAGGUGUCGGCUUAAGUGCCAUAACGAGCGCAACCCUUGUUGUCAGUUACUAACAGGUUCCGCUGAGGACUCUGACAAGACUGCCAUCGUAAGAUGUGAGGAAGGUGGGGAUGACGUCAAAUCAGCACGGCCCUUACGUCCGGGGCUACACACGUGUUACAAUGGGGGGUACAGAGGGCCGCUACCACGCGAGUGGAUGCCAAUCCCCAAAACCUCUCUCAGUUCGGACUGGAGUCUGCAACCCGACUCCACGAAGCUGGAUUCGCUAGUAAUCGCGCAUCAGCCACGGCGCGGUGAAUACGUUCCCGGGCCUUGUACACACCGCCCGUCAAGCCAUGGGAGCCGGGGGUACCUGAAGUGCGUAACCGCGAGGAGCGCCCUAGGGUAAAACUGGUGACUGGGGCUAAGUCGUAACAAGGUAGCCGUACCGGAAGGUGCGGCUG
rnacentral:rRNA from 1 species